CAUGUAACGGAGUGCUUCAGCCGGUACUUUGCCAGGAACUAUAUUAAAUGUAUGGAACCCGAUGUUGCCAGCUUGCCAGGAUAGGCGGGUGAAUUCAAAUAAGCGUCUAAUCUGGUGUCCCGAGCUGUUUUCAUCGCCAUAAUGUGAGAACCAUGGGCAGAUCAAAUUUUUUUCUCAUUUUCCAUACUAUUGUUGACUAUUACAUGCUAUUUUCUACUUUAUUUGGACCAAAAUAAAAAUUUAGGAGAAUUUUGAAUGUGCAAAUUGCCUUGAUUUGUCCCAAAUUUACGUGUCCCCCGUGCUCGGUUCUUGACUUUAAAACGAUAUUGCAGCAUAACUAGAGUGAUUGCUUGGAAAAACUUUAUCGGAGAUGAAAGGUAAUGCUUUAUAAUUUUAGAAAAAUAGUUAAAAACAUGUUUUACUAUUCACAAAACUUUUCUCUCGCGUUUAAAUAACUGUCCCCGGCAACGCUGCGUGAGACGUGGCAGCGCUGUCGCGAGUUUUAAAUAAUUUCCGCUGCUCAGCGCUUUCGUCAAUACCAGCUGUUUUUGUUGUGAUAAGGUUGUUUACAUGUUGUAGUUUGAUGAAAAAAUGAGAAAUGUGAAGUUUUGUGUCUUUAAAGGCGAGAAAAAGCUGCCAAACCAAGUGUGAACCACGAAUUUCCAAGAAACAAGGUAGCAGUGAUUCUGUUCUGGCGUUCUGUUCUGGUGUUCUGUUCUGGGUGAUUCUGUUCUGUGUGUGAAACAAGGUAGCAAUGGUUCUGUUCUGUGUGUGAGCAGAAAUUAUGUUUUGAUCCCACCACAAGAGCUGACCAACUUUAUCAACCAUCUGGUUUGCAGUAUUUGUGAUGUUCUAACUGAUUCAACGCUGAUUGUUGAUUAUUUCACAAAAGGUGAGCCAGAUGUUUUGUUUACCUAGCUUUAUAUUUUUUAAUAUGUGACCGAUCACUGGGGAGAAAAAUUUUUAGCAGCUGAAUUUUUGUCUAGUCGCCUCUAAAUAUCGUGUCCCAAAGAAAUCAGUUGCAGCCAGCAGCCUAGUUUAUUUUUUGUCAAUGAAGGUUGUAAAGGUGCCUUGUAAUUCAUAAGAGUUUUUUACGCUAAAUAUGACAGACUAGAAUUUCAAAUUGCUCAUAGCCAUAUUUUUAAAAUCACAGAGUUUUCGAUUAAAGGUAGCA
rnacentral:lncRNA from 1 species